UACGAAGGGGGCUAGCGUUGCUCGGAAUCACUGGGCGUAAAGCGCACGUAGGCGGAUCGUUAAGUCAGGGGUGAAAUCCUGGAGCUCAACUCCAGAACUGCCUUUGAUACUGGCGAUCUUGAGUUCGGGAGAGGUGAGUGGAACUGCGAGUGUAGAGGUGAAAUUCGUAGAUAUUCGCAAGAACACCGGUGGCGAAGGCGGGGUCACUGGGCCGAUGACCUGGACGCUG
rnacentral:rRNA from 1 species